rnacentral:rRNA from 1 species
CACGUAGGGUGCGAGCGUUGUCCGGAAUUAUUGGGCGUAAAGAGCUCGUAGGCGGUGUGUCGCGUCGGCCGUGAAAACCUGCAGCUUAACUGUGGGCUUGCGGUCGAUACGGGCAUCACUGGAGUUCGGCAGGGGAGACUAGAAUUCCUGGUGUAGCGGUGAAAUGCGCAGAUAUCAGGAGGAACACCGGUGGCGAAGGCGGGUCUCUGGGCAGUAACUGACGCUGAGGAGCGAAAGCGUGGGGAGCGAACAGG